rnacentral:tRNA from 1 species
GCCUUGGUGGCUUGGUGGUUAGAGCAUCUGGCUGCCAAGCCAUAGGUCCCAGGUUCAAAUCCUGGUAGUGGUG